rnacentral:rRNA from 1 species
CCUACGGGAGGGCGCAGUGGGGAAUACUGCACAAUGGGCGCAAGCGGGAUGCAGCCAUGCCGCGUGUGUGAAGAAGGCCUUCGGGUUGUAAAGCACUGUCGGUCGUGAGGAAGGUAGUGUAGUAAUAGCUGCAUUAUUGACGUAGCGACA